rnacentral:lncRNA from 1 species
AAAGAGAGGUCAUAAAGUCAAAGAGAAAAAGAGAGAAAACCCACCCUCUCUCUCUCCUACGGUUUGGGGUAAAAGGUCAAGGAUUCACUCAAUUACAUAGGAAACUUGCCCAACAAGUAAACUCAAUUACAUAGGUACAUAGGAAACUUGCCCAACAAGUAAACUCAAUUACUUGCACCAUUACACCUUAGCCCCUCUUAUUUGCACAAUUACACCUUAG